AACGUUCACAAGAACCAAAACCAGAACAACAUUAGACUUCUCUAUUACGCCCUAACAGCUUAACUUUGCAAACAGUACUUUUUCUCAUUCAAUCGAACAAAGAGUAAAACCAAAUUAUAUUAUUCUAUUAUGCCCCUAGAAUGUAAAUUUGCAACGUAUCGAUGUCAACGUUCACAGAAACCAAAACGGGAAGAACAUUAGACUACACAAUUGCGCCCUAACAGCAUAAUUUUGCAAUGAGUACUUUUUCUCCUUCAACCGAACAAAGAAUAAAAGCUAAUUAUAUUGUUCUAUUAUGCCCCGAGAGUGUAAAUUUACAAUGUAUCGAUGCAAACGUUCACAAAAACCAAAACCGGAACAACAUUAGACUACUCAGUUGCACCCUAACAAUAGAACUUUGCAAACAGAGCUUUUUCUCAUUCAAUCGAACAAAGAGUAAAAUCCAAUUAUAUUAUUCUAUUAUACCCCGGGAGUGUAAAUUUGCAACUUAUCGAUGUCAACGUUCAGAAGAACCAAAACCGGACCUACAUUAUAAUACUCAGUUGCUCCCUAACAGUAUAACUUUGCAACGAGUACUUUUUCUCAUUCAACAGAAUAAAGAGUAAAACCUAAUUAUAUUGUUCUAUUAUGCCCCGAGAGUGUGAAUUUGCAACGUAUCGAUGUCAACGUUCACAAGAACCAAAUCUAGAUCAACAGUAGACUACUGAGUAGCGCCGUAACAGUAUAACUUUGCAACGAGUACUUUUUCUCAUUCAACCGAACAAAGAGUAAAACCGAAUUAUAUUGUUCUAUUAUGCCCCGAGAGCAUAUAUUUGCAACGUAUCGAUGUCAACGUUCACACGAACCAAAAUCGGACCAAUAUUAGACUACUCAGUUGCGCCCUAACAGUAUAACUUUGCAACGAGUACUUUUUCUCAUUCAACCGAACAAAGAGUAAAACCUAAUUAUAUUGUUCUAUUAUGCCCGAGAGUGUAAAUUUGCAACGUGUAAAUUUGUAACUUUGCAAACAUUGCUUUUUCUCAUUCAAUCGAACAAGGAGUAAAAUCCAAUUAUAUUGUUCUAUUAUACCCCGAGAGUGUAAAUUUGCAACUUAUCGAUGUCAACGUUCAUACGAACCAAAACCGGACCAAGAUUAGAUCACUCAGUUGCGCCCUUACUAACUUUGCAACGAGUAUUUUUUCUCAUUCAACCGAACAAAGAGUAAAUCUAAUUAUAUUGUUCUAUUAUGCCCCGCGAGUAUAAAUUUGCAGCGUAUCGAUGUCAACAUUCACAUAAAGCAAAAUCGGAACAACAUUAAACUACUCAGUUGCGCCCUAACAGUAUUACUUUGCAAACAAUAUUUUUUCUCAUUCAAUCGAACAAAGAGUAAAACCUAAUUAUAUUGUUCUACGUUGUCCGAGAGUGUAAAUUUGCAACGUAUCGACGUCAACGUUCACAAGAACCAAAACCGGAACAACAUUAGACUACACAGUUGUGUCCUAGCAGUUUAACUUUACAAACAGUGCUUUUUCUCAUUCAAUCGAACAAAGAGUAAAAUCCAAUUAUAUUGUUCUAUUAUACGCCGAGAGUGUAAAUUUGUAACUUAUCGAUGUCAACGUUCAUACGAACCAAAACCGGACCAACAUUAGAUCACUCAGUUGCGCCCUUACUAACUUUGCAACGAGUAUUUUUUCUCAUUCAACCGAACAAAGAGUAAAUCUAAUUAUAUUGUUCUAUUAUGCCCCGCGAGUAUAAAUUUGCAGCGUAUCGAUGUCAACGUUCACAUGAACCAAAAUCGGAACAACAUUAGACUACUCAGUUGCGCCCUUACAAUAUAACUUUGCAACGAGUAAUUUUUCUCAAUCAACCGAACAAAGAGUAAAACCUAAUUAUAUUGUUCUAUUAUGCCCCGAGAGUAUAAAUUUGCAGCAUAUCGAUGUCAACGUUCACACGAACCAAAACCGGAUCAACAUUAGACUACUAAGUUGCACCCUAACAGUAUAACUUUGCAACGAGUACUUUUUCUCAUUCAAUAGAACAAAGAGUAAAACUUAAUUAUAUUGUUCUAUUAUGCCCCGAGAGUAUAAAUUUGCAACGUAUCGAUGUCAACGUUCAAAAGAACUAAAACCGGAACAACAUUAGACUACUCAGUUACGCCCUAACAGUAUAACUUUACAAACAGUAAUUUUUUUCAUUCAAUGGAACAAAAAGUAAAACCUAAUUAUAUUGUUCUAUUAUGCUCCAAGAGUAUAAAUUUCCAACGUAUCGAUGUCAACGUUCACAAGAACCAAAACCGGAACAACAUUAGACUACUCAGUUGUGCCAAAACAAUAUAACUUUACAAACAGUGCUUUUUCUCAUCCAAUCGAACAAAGAGUAAAACCUAAUUAUAUUGUUCUAUUAUGCUCCGAGAGUGUAAAUUUGCAACGUAUCGAUGUCAACGUUCAUAAGAACCAAAACCGAAAAAACAUUAGACUACUCAGUUGUUCCAAAAUAUUAUAACUUUGCAAUGAUUACUUUUUCUCAUUCAACCGAACAAAGAGUAAACCUAAUUAUACUGUUCUAUUAUGCCCCGAGAGUAUAAAUUUGCAACGUGUCGAUGUCAACGUUCACAAAAAUCAAAACCGUACCAAUAUUAGACUACUACGUUGAGCCCUAACAGUAUCACUUUGCAACGAGUACUUUUUCUCAUUCAACCGAAAUAAAGAGUAAAUCCGAAUUAUAUUGUCCUAUUAUGCCCCGAGAGUGUAAAUUUGCAACGUAUCGAUGUCAACGUUCACAAGAACGUACUUUUCUCAUUUAAUCGAACAAUAGUAAACCUAAUUAUAUUGUUCUAUUAUGCACCGAGAGUUAAAUUUGCAACGUAUCGAUGUCAACGUUCACAAGAACCAAAACCGAAAAAAUAUUAGACUAAGUAUACGCCCUAACGUAUAAAUUUGCAAUGAGUAGUUUUCUCAAUUCAAUCGGACAAAAAAUAAAACCUAAUUAUAGUUUGUUGCAUUAUGCCCUGAGAGUGUAAUUGCAACGUUUCGGAUGUCAACGUUCACAAAAACCAAAACCGGACAAACAUUAGACUACUUAGUUCGCCCUAACAGUAUAACUUUACAACGAGUACUUUUUUUUCUUCAACCGAACAAAGAGUAAAACUAAUUAUAUUAUUUUUAUUAUGCCCCGAAGUGUAAUUUGUAACGUAUCUAUGAAACGUUCAACAAAGAACAAACCGAACAACAUUAGACUUCUCAGUUGCGCCCUAACAAUAUAACUUGGCAACUGUGUUUUUCUCAUCCAUCGAAUAAAGAGUAACCCAAUUAUAUUAUUCUAUUAUACGCCGAGAGUGUAAAUUGGCAACUUAUCGAUGUCAACGUUCACAAGAACCAAAACCGGACAAACAUUAGACUACUCAGUUGCGCACCUAACAGCAUAACUUUGCCAAUAAAUAGUUUUUCUCCUUCAUCGAACAAAGAGUAAAACCUAAUUAUACUGUUCUAUUUUGUCCCAAGAGUGUAAUUUACAACGUAUCGAUGUCAAGAUUCACAAAAACCAAAACCGAACCAACAUUAGACUACUCAGUUGCCGCCCUAACAGUUAAACUUUACAACGAGUAUUUUUCUCCUUUAACGAACAAGAGUAAACAAUUAUAUUUGUUCUAUUAUGUCCCGAAGUGUGUAAUUUGCAACGUAUCGAUGUAAACGUUCACAGACCAAAUGGAACAACACAAUGAAUACUCGUUGCGCCCUAACAGUAUAACUUUGGAAACUGUACUUAUUCUCAUUCGAAUCGAACAAAGAGUAAACCCAAUAUAUUGUUCUACUAUCCCGAGAGUGUAAAUUUGCAAUUAUCGAUGUCAACGUUCACAAGAAACAAAACUGGACAAACAUUUAGACUACUUAGUUGCGCCCUAACAGUAUAACUUUUGCAACGAGUAUUUUUCUCAUUCAACCGAACAAAGAGUAAAACAAUAUUUGUUCUAUUAUGACCGAGUGUGUAAAUUUCUAUCUGAUCGAUGCAAUGUUCACAAGCAACCACCGGAACUAGACUACUCGUUACGUACCAACAGUAUACUUUACAAACAGUACUUUUUCUCAUUCAAUCGAACAAAGAGUAACAACCAUAUACUCCUACUUUAUGCCCCGAAAAUGUAAAUUUGCAACGUAUCGAUGUCAACGUUCACAGAAAACCAAAGCCGAACAACAUUAGACUACUCAGUUGCACCCUAACAGUAUAAUAACUUUGCAAACAGUACAUUUUCUCAUUCCAUCGAACAAGAUAAAACCAAUUAUAUUAUUCUAUAAUGCCCGAGAAUUUAAAUUUGCAACGUAUCGAUGUCAACGUUCACAAAACCAAAACUAGACCAACAUUACCGGACCAACAUUAGAACUAGUUGCGCCCUAAACAGUAUAAACUUUUGUAAACGAUACUUUUUUUGAUUUCAACCCAACAAAGAGUAACAACCUUAAUUAUACGUUGACUCUAUUUCAUGCCUGAGAUGUAUAAAUUUGCGAGUAUCGGAUGUCAACGUUCACAAAAAUCCAAACGUGGAACAACAUUAGCACUACUCGAUGCGCCUAAACAGUAUAGUAAAACCAUUUUUAGAGCAUAAGGAUCAAUCCUUAGAGUUCUACCAUUAAAGGGUUUUGAAGCUUACCUCUCAAGCAAGCUCCAAUGGAGAGGAAGAAGAUGGAGAAGAUGGAAAUCCACCUUAGAGCUUCGAUCUCCACCAAAAUCAUCUAUUUUUGGGAGAGAUUUAGAGAGAGAAAGGGAUUUCUCUCCUUUCCCUUCCAUGCGUGUAUUGUGUGCGUGUGUGUGUGUGGUUGUGGUGUGCACGGUUGAGGGAGGAGAAGAAGAGCAAUGCUCUUUUCCACAAGCAGCCCCCUCAACUAUUCCACUUUUCAGUUUAGUCCCUCAAAUCUGAUAAGUUUCGUUGGAGCCCUUCCGGAUGUCCGAUUGAGCUCAAAUUUGACAGGCAUGCUCAGUUUAACGUACUGAGUAAGAAUAUGUCUUAAGUUUUCAGUUUCGACUCCGUUUGGUCACUGAAAACUGUACCGAACUGCAAUCUUUAUCAGAUAGCUUUCGGAUUUUAUUUCUCACUCUACGGGUAUCAAAAAAAUAUGAAACCUUAAAUCUAGCUUCACAAAAAUAUUUCUGACAUCUCUGCCAAUUUUCAUAAUUUUCUGAGACUGUGCGUUUUCUGCUAAUUUAUCUGCCCCGUUUCCAACAGAAAAUUCUAAAUCUUCUGUUUUAAUUCCGAUUUCAGCACAGGUCAUUCCCAACUUAUAUUUCACUUCUCUAAAUUCAAUAAAAAUAGUAUCUCAUACUAUUUUUAUUUAUUUCUAUUUUUUUAUAUUUAAAUCCGGUAUAUUACAUUACACCGCAACCUUACCGGAACCAUUCAAAUGGCUCUCCAACCAAAUGGACACCGUAGCUUCAUAAUUUUAGAAGUCCGGUACCUUACACUCACACUAUUUUUAUUUAUUUUCACUUUUACAUUUAAAAUUCGGUAUGUUACAUUCCACCGCAACCUUACCGGAACCUUUUAAAUGUACACCGUAACUUCAUAGUUUUAGAAGUCUGGUACCUUACACUAGGCCCUUACCGCGACCCUCGCCGGGGGUACUCGAACUCGAACCUGCAACAAUGUAGGGUGAGAACUACGAAUAGUUCCCUGUGGUUUCGACCGCUGACUCCUCCGAUCUCCCCACUAGGUCUAAGCAGGCAUAAGCAGAUAGAUAGAUAGAUAUUUAACCGAAAUGAAAGCAUAGUAAAGAACUACAGUAUACUACUAUGCCUGACAAGUAUGCAAUGAACAAUCGAAGCAAGUAUCACUAACAUGUCACUAGGAUCAUGCUACAAGCAAGUAUGUAACCUACUAGGCUCAAUAUGUUCAAUGUCCAGCAUGUCUGUUACCCAAUCCUUGGCCAACCAAGAGUUAACCCUCGACUCACAUCUCAAUCCCACCUUGGUGAGGACCCUGCUGUCAACCCACCCGGUACAGUCUGCGGACAACUACGUCUGUCCUGAACAUGACCACCUCCGUAGCGCACUAACGGGAGGAGCGACCACCCCAAGCACAAGACUAUGUGAGUAUGAUCCAUCCUCGCCAUCGAGGAAGCCCUAUCCUCUAGGGUUAUCAAUCUCUCGGGAAUACACUGGUUUGUACCUAUGUCCAAAGCCUCAAUGCUAGCAACUGUGUCAAUGACGCACAAGUUCUCAUGCAAGAUGUCCACUGGAAAACUCAUCUAGUCCCUACAUCAUCAUAUCAUAGUGUUCUUUACACUAAGCUCUAACGCCACUCGUCAAGUGUUUUCUAUGUUCCAUGCCACUCGUCAUAAUACAAGGUCCCAACAUUACACAUGUCAUUAACUUUCAUAAUCAUAAGAUCAAGUUACUACUUAUCUUUAUCACUAUAGGGUUCUAUGUCAUUAUACUCAUUCUCAUGCCUUCUAGGUUCCAGUGCCAAUCAGAUUGCUGCACUACCAAGAAGCAUGCUAGAAUAAAACAUUACCAACUACACCCUAUAAUGCAUAAUACUACAUGUGCAAUAUGAUCAACAAAAUACAACUUAGACAUAGGGAGCAGCUCAACUGCUUCAGGAUGGACACCACCCACCUUUUGGUAGUGCCGCGAGGUUAGGAAACUCGACUUCGCGAUCCUUGGUCGCCGUCUUGACUCUUCGGGUCAAUACGAACCCACGAGCACUCGUUUCGGCGAUAACUCCGUACUUGCUUGACGAAUCGACGAACCGUCUUCGCCGACGCGUUUAGAGACCUAGCAAUGAGUAAAACCUAAUUAUAUUGUUAUAUUAGGCUCCGAGAGUAUAAAUUUUCAACGUAUCGAUGUCAACGUUCACAAGAACCAAAACCGGAACAACAUUAGACUACUCAGUUGCACCCUAACAGUAUAACUUUGCAAACAGUACUUUUUCUCAUUCAAUCGAACAAAGAGUAAAACCUAAUUAUAUUGUUCUCUUAUGCCCGAGAGUGUAAAUUUGCAACGUAUCGACAUCAACUUUCACAAGAACCAAAACCGGAACAACAUUAGACUGCAAAGUUGCGUCCGAACAGUAUAACUUUGCACACAGUACUUUUUCUCAUUUAAUCGAACAAAUAGUAAAACCUAAUUAUAUUGUUCUAUUAUGCACCGAGAGUUUAAAUUUGCAACGUAUCGAUGUCAACGUUCACAAGAACCAAAACCGAAAAAAUAUUAGACUAAGUUACCCCCUAACAGUAUAAAUUUGCAAUGAGUACGUUUUCUCAUUCAAUCGAACAAAAAGUAAAACCUAAUUAUAUUGUUCUAUUAUGCCCUGAGAGUGUAAAUUUGCAACAUUUCGAUGUCAACGUUCACAAAAACCAAAACCGGACAAACAUUAGACUACUUAGUUGCGCCCUAACAGUAUAACUUUACAACGAGUACUUUUUUUUCUUCAACCGAACAAAGAGUAAAACCUAAUUAUAUUAUUUUAUUAUGCCCCGAGAGUGUAAUUUGUAACGUAUCUAUGAAACGUUCACAAGAACCAAAAUCGGAACAACAUUAGACUUCUCAGUUGCGCCCUAACAAUAUAACUUUGCAAACUGUAUUUUUUCUCAUCCAAUCGAAUAAAGAGUAAACCCAAUUAUAUUAUUCUAUUAUACGCCGAGAGUGUAAAUUGGCAACUUAUCGAUGUCAACGUUCACAAGAACCAAAAUCGGACAAACAUUAGACUACUCAGUUGCGCCCUAACAGCAUAACUUUGCAAUGAAUAGUUUUUCUCCUUCAAUCGAACAAAGAGUAAAACCUAAUUAUACUGUUCUAUUUUGUCCCAAGAGUGUAAAUUUACAACGUAUCGAUGUCAAGAUUCACAAAAACCAAAACCGAACCAACAUUAGACUACUCAGUUGCGCCCUAACAGUAUAACUUUACAACGAGUAUUUUUCUCCUUUAACCGAACAAAGAGUAAACCUAAUUAUGUUGUUCUAUUAUGUCCCGAGUGUGUAAAUUUGCAACGUAUCGAUGUAAACGUUCACAAGAACCAAAAUCGGAACAACAAUAAAAUACUCAGUUGCGCCCUAACAGUAUAACUUUGCAAACUGUACUUAUUCUCAUUCAAUCGAACAAAGAGUAAAACCCAAUUAUAUUGUUCUAUUAUUCCCCGAGAGUGUAAAUUUGCAACUUAUCGAUGUCAACGUUCACAAGAAACAAAACUGGACAAACAUUAGACUACUUAGUUGCGCCCUAACAGUAUAACUUUGCAACGAGUACUUUUUCUCAUUCAACCGAACAAAGAGUAAACAAUAUAUUGUUCUAUUAUGACCCGAGUGUGUAAAUUUCUAUCUGAUCGAUGCCAAUGUUCACAAGAACCAAAACCGGACCAACAUUAGACUACUCAGUUACGCCCUAACAGUAUAACUUUACAAACAGUACUUUUUCUCAUUCAAUCGAACAAAGAGUAAAACCAAAUUAUAUUAUUCUAUUAUGCCCCGAAAAUGUAAAUUUGCAACGUAUCGAUGUCAACGUUCACAAGAACCAAAGCCCGAACAACAUUAGACUACUCAGUUGCACCCUAACAGUAUAACUUUGCAAACAGUACAUUUUCUCAUUCCAUCGAACAAAGAGUAAAACCAAAUUAUAUUAUUCUAUAAUGCCCCGAGAAUUUAAAUUUGCAACGUAUCGAUGUCAACGUUCACAAAAACCAAAACUAGACCAACAUUAGCCGGACCAACAUUAGACUACUCAGUUGCGCCCUAACAGUAUAACUUUGUAACGAGUACUUUUUCUGAUUCAACCCAACAAAGAGUAAAACCUAAUUAUAUUACUCUAUUAUGCCCUGAGAGUAUAAAUUUGCGACGUAUCGAUGUCAACGUUCACAAAAAUCAAAACUGGAACAACA
rnacentral:lncRNA from 1 species